rnacentral:misc_RNA from 1 species
AACGCACAUUGCGCCCUCUGGUAUUCUGGGGGGCAUGCCUGUUCGAGCGUCAUUACAAUCCUCAAGCUUGGCUUGGUAUUGGGUGCCGUCCCCCGGGGCGCGCCUGGAAAGCAGCGGCGGUGCGGCCGGUGAUCGAGCGUAGUAACUACUCCCGCUUCGAGCCACCCGGGCGUUCCAGCCGGACAACAUCUAUUUUUCAAUGGUUGACCUCGGAUCAGGUAGGGAUACCCGCUGAACUUAA